rnacentral:rRNA from 1 species
UACGUAGGGUGCAAGCGUUGUCCGGAAUUAUUGGGCGUAAAGAGCUCGUAGGCGGUUUGUUGCGUCGGCUGUGAAAUCCCCGGGCUUAACCUGGGAACUGCAUUCGAGACUGCAUAGCUAGAGUAUGGGAGAGGGAAGUGGAAUUUCAGGUGUAGCGGUGAAAUGCGUAGAUAUCUGAAGGAACAUCAGUGGCGAAAGCGACUUCCUGGACCAAUACUGACGCUCAUGUGCGAAAGCGUGGGGAGCAAACAGG